UACGGAGGGGGCUAGCGUUGUUCGGAAUUACUGGGCGUAAAGCGCGCGUAGGCGGACCUGCAAGUCGGGGGUGAAAGCCCGAGGCUCAACCUCGGAACUGCCUUCGAUACUGCGGGUCUCGAGUCCGGGAGAGGUGAGUGGAAUUCCGAGUGUAGAGGUGAAAUUCGUAGAUAUUCGGAGGAACACCAGUGGCGAAGGCGGCUCACUGGUCCAUUACUGACGCUGAGGUGCGAAAGCGUGGGGAGCAAACAGG
rnacentral:rRNA from 1 species